ensembl:rRNA 5S_rRNA 5S ribosomal RNA
GCUUACGGCCAUACCACCUUAGGCACGCCCGAUCUCGUCUGAUCUCGGAAGCUAAGCAGGGUGUGGCCUGGUUAGUACUUGGAGGGGUGACCGCCUGGGAAUACCAGGUGCUGUAAGCA